AUGCAAGAUUGUAUCCUAUGUGAACUAUGGAGUCAUUCUGGAGGUAUCGUUCUAGGAUAUUUAUCUUUGUUGUUCUUAGAUGAACCAUCCAUUAAAUGGUUAUCAUAUUUGUGCGGGAACUGGAUAAAGAAUGUACCUUUCACUUUCUUAUACUAUGUUGGUUGGCGCUGCCAGUUUGAUUUUCCUUUAAACGAUAAACAAGACAGAAGGACAUGUGUGGCUUCUUUAGCUUUAUAUCAUGUUAUAUUUGCAUCUUUAACACCAUCUUUUUCCAUCAAUAUUGAGAUGGUUCAGGGUCAAAAGCAAUGCAAGAUUGUUUCAAUUUUGAUUCUCAUAUUUAUGUAG
rnacentral:rRNA from 1 species